rnacentral:rRNA from 1 species
AGGACGAACGCUGGCGGCGUGCCUAAUACAUGCAAGUCGAACGAACGUGUGGAAAGCUUGCUUUCAGAGUUAGUGGCGAACGGGUGAGUAACACGUAAGUAACCUAGCUAUUAGACGAGGAUAACUACUGGAAACGGUAGCUAAGACUGGAUAUGAUAGAAAUAUUUAAAGGAUGCUAAGGCAUCGCUAAUAGAGGGGCUUGCGGCGCAUUAGCUAGUUGGUAGGGUAAAAGCCAACCAAGGCGAUGAUGCGUAGCCGACCUGAGAGGGUGACCGGCCACACUGGGACUGAGACACGGCCCAGACUCCUACGGGAGGCAGCAGUAGGGAAUCUUCGGCAAUGGACGGAAGUCUGACCGAGCAACGCCGCGUUGAGUGAAGAAAGUUUUCGGAUUGUAAAGCUCUGUUAUUAGGGAAGAAAGGCUCUAGGAGGAAAUGCUUAGGGAUUGACGGUACCUAAUGAGGAAGCCACGGCUAACUACGUGCCAGCAGCCGC